AGCACGGGGGCAACCCUGGUGGCGAGCGGCGAACGGGUGAGUAACACAUCGGAACAUGCCCAGUCGUGGGGGAUAACACUUCGAAAGAAGUGCUAAUACCGCAUACGUCCUGAGGGAGAAAGCGGGGGAUCGCAAGACCUCGCGCGAUUGGAGUGGCCGAUAUCAGAUUAGUUAGUUGGUGGGGUAAAGGCCUACCAAGGCAACGAUCUGUAGCUGGUCUGAGAGGAUGAUCAGCCACACUGGGACUGAGACACGGCCCAGACUCCUACGGGAGGCAGCAGUGGGGAAUUUUGGACAAUGGGGGCAACCCUGAUCCAGCCAUUCCGCGUGAGUGAAGAAGGCCUUCGGGUUGUAAAGCUCUUUCGGCAGGAACGAAACG
rnacentral:rRNA from 1 species